CUCAAAUUUUGAGUCUACAAGCUCAGCUAGGGGAAAAGAACAAAUUGGAAUGGAACAGUUUCCAAACAGUGAAGGAGGUUUUUCCAAACUCAUCCCUAACUGAACAUGAGGAUGAAUUGGCAUUAGGCGAACACAGUCAGUUAUUCAGUCUACCACCUGACAGUGUGUUAAAGUUAAAUUCUGUUAGUGCUGCACUAAAAGAAUUGUUAGUAAUAAGUCCAUGCAGCGAAGGAAUUGAACAAUUGUGGGAUCGUAUUUGGGCUGAAAAUGGGUGUGGUACGGAAACCCAGAAAUAGCAUGAGUUCAACAUAAAACAUGAAUUAGAAUUCUAGUGGGGAAUCAAGUCAAGUCUAGAAGUGUUACAGGAUGGAAGAGUGAGCCUACAGUUGAAAAACACUGAAAGUGCAUUACCAUUAAGGUAUGAGGUAAAGUAAUAGAGUAUGCAAAUUGUCUAAUGAGAAGUACCAUCUUGUGUGAAUGAAUCCUGUGUAACAGCAAUCCUUUAUAGUUCUGUUAUAGCUAGAAGCCUCAAAUAAUUCUGCUUCUCUUGCUAAAGAACAACUUGUCCUUUACACUCAGAGUGUUGGUGAAGCUGGGUACUUAAAUGGCCCUAAAGAUGUUUCACUUCACUGGCAUUGCAGCGAUGAACAUCAUACAUGGACUCUUUAGGUAUGAAAGGAAUUUUCUUGAAAAAUUUUUGAAUUUAUGAUGAAGCUUUUCUCCUCCUUUUUGCCAACCAUGUCUAAUCUACAAAAAAAAUUUUAUCCAAUAGGAAAGGAUUUUCA